GCCAGCAGCCAUAUUACCCUGCAACUCACAACUAGCAACCCACUGAAGCUAAGCAGGUGUGAGCUUGGUUGGUACCUGGAUGGGAGACCUCUUGAGAAAAACUAAGGUUGCUACUGGAA
rnacentral:rRNA from 1 species